UCCUUGUUAGUAUAGUGGACAGUUUCUCCGCCUAUCACACCUAAGACCUGGGUUCGAUUCCCUGAUGGGGAG